rnacentral:lncRNA from 1 species
GGGGGGGGUGAAUUGGAUUUCUAAAAAUUUAGACUUAAUUAAUAACUUAUGAUGAACAAGACAAAGAUUUUAAUUCAAUAUUAAUUACCUAAAGCAGGAAAGCAAGGAUAUAAUAAAGAAAUAAAGUGAAGCGAUAAAGCACACCACAAACACAAGGAUUUAUAGUGGUUCGGUGCCAACCUUGCACCUACAUCCACUCCCCA